GAUGAACGCUGGCGGCGUGCCUAAUACAUGCAAGUCGAGCGGUAAGGCCACUUCGGUGGUACACGAGCGGCGGACGGCUGAGUAACACGUAGAAACGUACCCCAAACUGAGGGAUAACUGCUCGAAAGAGUAGCUAAUACCGCAUGUGCCCUACGGAGUAAAGCUACGGCGGUUUGGGAACGGCCUGCGCAUGAUUAGCUUGUUGGUGAGGUAAUGGCUCACCAAGGCGACGAUCAUUAGCUGGUCUGAGAGGAUGAUCAGCCAGACUGGGACUGAGACACGGCCCAGACUCCUACGGGCGGCAGCAGUAGGGAAUUUUCCACAAUGGGGGCAACCCUGAUGGAGCAACGCCGCGUGCAGGAUGAAGGCCCUUGGGUCGUAAACUGCUUUUAUCUGUGAAGAUUAUGACGGUAGCAGAUGAAUAAGGAUCGGCUAACUCCGUGCCAGCAGCCGCGGUAA
rnacentral:rRNA from 1 species